rnacentral:lncRNA from 1 species
ACCAAAGUAAUUUUUUCAAAUAUCUUCUACUUUAAGCUUUUCACAUCGGGUUCAUGAAAUAUGUCAUAUUACGUGAAGUGUUGCUUGAGAAUGCAUCAAGCACCUAAAUGUGGAAGGUAGAAUAGAAAUUACAAUAAUAAAAUCUUAAUUCUAAUAGAAUAUUAAAUAAAAUCUAAUUGAAUCUUAAUAAUUCUAAAUAAGCUUUAAUCAAAUUCAAAAGAAACCUUAAAGAAAUUAUAAAAGAAACAAUAAGAAAUCUUAAAGCAGUUGAAAGAUAAUGCACAAUAAACCUUAAAAGAAUCUUUAAGAAGUUCUAAAAAAUAUUAGAAUAAUCACAAUGUAUCUUAAAUAAAUCUCAAUCAAGUUCUAAUUUAAUCCUAAUUGAAAUUCUAAUAGACUUGAAUCAAAUUCUAGCCAAAUCCUAUACAAAUCCUAAAUCCUAAAUAAAAGCUUAGAUAAACACUUAAUCUUAAAUCCAAUCCUAAUUAAAUCCGAGCCAAAUUCUAAAUUCUAAAUUAAAUCCUAAACAAACAUGAAAUCCUAAAUCAUAGCCUAAUCAAACUCUAAAUCCUAAAUUAAAUUCUAAUCAAAUCCUAAAACCUAAACCAAAUCCUAACCAAAUCCUAAUCAAAUCUAAAACAAAUCUUAAACUCUUUACCAAACCCUAAUC